UCUUGCAAAACAAAAAGAAGUCCUGUUUCUGCCGGCUUUAUUAGAUGAUCCAUUUAGUUUAGUUGGGCGAGUUAUUCUUCAUAAAAUAAAAGAAGUUGAUGAAGAAGAGUAUUUUUGGUGCAAAGCAGAUGUUCUUAAAAUAGGUAAAGUUGGAAAAAAAAUCAAGCAAACAUUAUAUGAUGUUAUUUACGAGUCAGAACCUGGAAGCAUUUAUACAUUUCCACUGUUAUCUGACUUUGAUAAAGGAGAUAUGAUCUUGUUAUAAAAGAAACAUUUAAACACGAUGAAGUGCUUGUAAGAUUGUGGUGCAAUGCAAACAAGAAGAAAUGGUGGAUGAUGAUUUUAAAUACAUUUUUGUAUUUUUCUUAAUUUUGAUUUGUGUAUUUUUUGAUUA